rnacentral:rRNA from 1 species
UCAGUUAUCGUUUAUUUGAUAGUACCUUACCACUUGGAUAACCGUGGUAAUUCUAGAGCUAAUACAUGCUAAAAACCCCGACUUCGGAAGGGGUGUGUUUAUUAGAUAAAAAACCAAUGCCCUUCGGGGCUCUUUGGUGAUUCAUGAUAACCUAACGGAUCGCAUGGCCUUGCGCCGGCGACGGUUCAUUCAAAUUUCUGCCCUAUCAACUUUCGAUGGUAAGGUAUUGGCUUACCAUGGUUUCAACGGGUAACGGGGAAUUAGGGUUCGAUUCCGGAGAGGGAGCCUGAGAAACGGCUACCACAUCCAAGGAAGGCAGCAGGCGCGCAAAUUACCCAAUCCCGACACGGGGAGGUAGUGACAAUAAAUACUGAUACAGGGCUCUUUUGGGUCUUGUAAUUGGAAUGAGUACAAUUUAAACCCCUUAACGAGGAACAAUUGGAGGGCAAGUCUGGUGCCAGCAGCCGCGGUAAUUCCAGCUCCAAUAGCGUAUAUUAAAGUUGUUGCAGUUAAAAAGCUCGUAGUUGAAACUUGGGUCUGGCUAGCGGGUCCGCCUCACCGCGUGCACUUGUCCGGCUGGACCUUUCCUUCUGGAGAACCUCAUGCCCUUCACUGGGUGUGUUGGGGAACCAGGACUUUUACUUUGAAAAAAUUAGAGUGUUCAAAGCAGGCCUUUGCUCGAAUACGUUAGCAUGGAAUAAUAGAAUAGGACGUGCGGUCCUAUUUUGUUGGUUUCUAGGAUCGCCGUAAUGAUUAAUAGGGAUAGUCGGGGGCAUCAGUAUUCAAUUGUCAGAGGUGAAAUUCUUGGAUUUAUUGAAGACUAACUACUGCGAAAGCAUUUGCCAAGGAUGUUUUCAUUAAUCAGUGAACGAAAGUUAGGGGAUCGAAGACGAUCAGAUACCGUCGUAGUCUUAACCGUAAACUAUGCCGACUAGGGAUCGGGCGAUGUUUCUAUCUUGACUCGC